GUUGACCUCGGAUCAGGUAGGAAUACCCGCUGAACUUAAGCAUAUCAAUAAGCGGAGGAAAAGAAACCAACAGGGAUUGCCCUAGUAACGGCGAGUGAAGCGGCAACAGCUCAAAUUUGAAAUCUGGUUCCUUCGGAGCCCGAG
rnacentral:rRNA from 1 species